AUGCACAUUUGGACGCUGUCCUGCACUUCAGGUGCAAGCUGGGCUCCUGUUACAUACUGGACAGACCACCCACAGCCGCUGCUGCCAACCCACCUCCACUCCUCCAGACUGCCAGCCAACUACAUCAUUCUGCCCACAGACCUACGCUACCACUGCCAUCGCCAUCCACCGCAUCUCACCAACAGACUGUGGCUCCUAGUGAUGUGGACUCACCUCGGAGGUAUCCGAGCUGGACACAGCCCCUGGACAGUGAUCCAGACAGCUGGCCGUCCCCCAAGGAGCCUGUCACCUUCAGCGAGACCCAUUUCCUCCCCAUCCCCAGAGACCUCUUGUGUUCCUGCCAC
rnacentral:lncRNA from 1 species